rnacentral:rRNA from 1 species
UGGGGAAUAUUGGACAAUGGGGGCAACCCUGAUCCAGCAAUGCCGCGUGUGUGAAGAGGGUUUUCGGAUUGUAAAGCACUUUCGACGGGGACGAUGAUGACGGUACCCGUAGAAGAAGCCCCGGCUAACUUCGUGCCAGCAGCCGCGGUAAUACGAAGGGGGCUAGCGUUGCUCGGAAUGACUGGGCGUAAAGGGCGUGUAGGCGGUUUGUACAGUCAGAUGUGAAAUCCCCGGGCUUAACCUGGGAGCUGCAUUUGAUACGUGCAGACUAGAGUGUGAGAGAGGGUUGUGGAAUUCCCAGUGUAGAGGUGAAAUUCGUAGAUAUUGGGAAGAACACCGUGGCGAAGGCGGCAACCUGGCUCAUAACUGACGCUGAGGCGCGAAAGCGUG